rnacentral:tRNA from 1 species
GCCGCCAUAGCUCAGUCGGUAGAGCAGCCGGCUGUUAACCGGCAGGUCGUGGGUUCAAGUCCCACUGGCGGCG